rnacentral:pre_miRNA from 1 species
GGCGCCCUACGUGACCGUGGUGGUGAGCAGAGGGCCCUCAGGCUGAGCUGUACUAAUGCUGUCAUGAUUGGGGUAUAUGAUGU